AGUGGCAGUGGCUCAGACUGGGGUUAUUGCUGCCUGACAAUCCUUAUUGCAUUUUCAAAAGCCAAUUGCAACAUAAGAAGUUUGGCGACUUCAGGAUGAGGUACCUGUCUUUCAACUGCAGCCUGCAAUCGGUUGAUAAAUUCAACAUAUGUUUCUGUGGCAACCUAUUUAACCAUCACAAAGGAACCCUGGAAUUGUCCCAUGAGUAUCCUCUUCCAUGCCUCUAUCGCUAGCUGUGAGCAUUGAGGAAAAUAGAUGGCCAUCCACCUGAGCCUAAGCCUGAGCUGAAGCAAAAGGCCCUGUCUCCAAUAGCAUACAUAUCAAGCUGUAUCAGGAUAUUAUCCAAAUUUUGCAAGCAUUGCUGCAUGGCUAGAUCACUGUACUCUCUCCACCACACAGUAUAUUCAGCAGCUGAAGCCAAAACUUUUCCCAGAGUUUUCCAGUCAUGCACAGCCAUCUCAUAACCAUUUCCCAGAGCCUCAACCAUCCCCUGCGUAAAGGGUGAAUGUACACCAUUGAAAAAGUGUCUUCUUUAUGCCCUACUGAAGGGAGUGAAGUUGGGGGAGGAACUCCUUCCUGUUGUUCUGCUUUCUGUGUUCCCUUUUCCUUUAAAUUUUCCGAAUUCCCUUCAGGUGAAGAAAAUGGGCAAUCUGACUCACCACUCAAAAUAUAACACUUGAUUACAUAUGUAGGUUUUGAGUUUCUGGAACAUGUAUUUUAUCCUUACAACUAUCCCAUGAGGUAGAAAAUCUACUGAAAAGAUGCCUAUCAUCGUAGUCAGCAAUGACAAUGCCACCAAAGGCUAAAGUUUCAUUUUAAAUUCCUUUAUACCUUCAAAUUCAAUAAAAUUUUGAAAAAAGGUCUUCUUUAUUAAAAAUAACAACACACACACAGAGGUAAAUAAGCAGUAUACAUUUAAAGCUACAGUUUUUUUAGAUCAAGUUAACUCUAUAAAGCAGUUUUUCCAUGGAGCUAGGGAUAGUUAUGCAUUGUGGAUCCUGAGGUUAAUUUAUUUCCAGCUC
rnacentral:lncRNA from 1 species